UACAAUGGUGCUUGCUUUUUGCAAGAGAAUAGGAAAGCUGAGUGUAAAUCUCACACGGUCACGCCGCUGUAAGGGAGAAGUUAUGCUUUAAUUAUGUCACUGGGCAACCGGGAAGGCAAAGUAUAGUGAUGAUACCCAAGUCAGAAGACCUGCCUUGUAUAU
rnacentral:ncRNA from 1 species